UACAGAGGGGGCAAGCGUUGUUCGGAAUUACUGGGCGUAAAGGGCGCGUAGGCGGCCUUCUAAGUCGAACGUGAAAGCCCUCGGCUUAACCGAGGAACUGCCUGUCAGACUGGAUGGCUUGAGACCGGGAGAGGUGAGUGGAAUUCCCAGUGUAGCGGUGAAAUGCGUAGAUAUUGGGAGGAACACCAGUGGCGAAGGCGGCUUACUGGUCCGGUUCUGACGCUGAGGCGCGAAAGCGUGGGGAGCAAACAGG
rnacentral:rRNA from 1 species